rnacentral:rRNA from 1 species
UGCAUCGAUGAAGAACGCAGCGAAAUGCGAUAAGUAAUGUGAAUUGCAGAAUUCAGUGAAUCAUCGAAUCUUUGAACGCACAUUGCGCCCCUUGGUAUUCCGGGGGGCAUGCCUGUUCGAGCGUCAUUACACCAAUCAAGCUCUGCUUGGCAUUAGGCCUCUUCGCCCCCGGUCCUCACGGACGGCGGGGCGGGCCUCAAACACUUCGGCGGAGUCUCAUCGACUUUGGGCGUAGCAGAAUCUCUAAAACGUCAAGAGCGCUGGGCCUUCAGCCGCGAAAACACGGCGGUCGCAAGACCCCAACUUUUCUCAAAGGUUGACCUCGGAUCAGGUAGGAAUACCCGCUGAACUUAAGCAUAUCAAUAAGCGGAGGAA